GACGAACGCUGGCGGCGUGCCUAAUACAUGCAAGUAGAACGCAGUUGCGAACGGGUGAGUAUCGCGUAUGUAACUGCCUCAUGGCGGGGGAUAAAUAUUGGAAACGAUAGCUAAUACCCCCAACUUUGAGAUGGACCUGAGUUGUAUUAGCUAGUUGGUGAGGUAAAGGCUCACCAAGGCGACGAUACAUAGCCGACCUGAGAGGGGGAUCGGGCAAAACGGGACUGGGAAAAGGCCCAGACCCCUACGGGAGGCAGCAGUAGGGAAUUUUCGGCAAUGGAGGGAAGUCUGACCGAGCAACGCCGCGGGAGUGAAGAAGGGUUUCGGAUCGUAAAGCUCUGUUGUUAGAGAAGCGGUACCUAACCAGAAAGGGACGGCUAACUACGUGCCAGCAGCCGCGGUAAUAC
rnacentral:rRNA from 1 species